rnacentral:rRNA from 1 species
GACGAACGCUGGCGGCGUGCUUAACACAUGCAAGUCGAACGGAAAGGCCUGCUUUCCCUUGUGGAUUGCGGGUACUCGAGUGGCGAACGGGUGAGUAACACGUGAGUGAUCUGCCCCCAACUUGGGUAUAAGCCUGGGAAACUGGGUCUAAUUCCCGAUAAGACUGUAGGGUGGUGCCUGUGGUGGAAAACGAUUUUCUAGUGGUUGGGGAUGAGCUCGCGGCCUAUCAGCUUGUUGGUGGGGUAAUGGCCUACCAAGGCGGCGACGGGUAGCCGGCCUGAGAGGGUGGACGGCCACAUUGGGACUGAGAUACGGCCCAGACUCCUACGGGAGGCAGCAGUGGGGAAUAUUGCACAAUGGGCGGAAGCCUGAUGCAGCGACGCCGCGUGGGGGAUGACGGCCUUCGGGUUGUAAACUCCUUUCGACCGCGAGGAAGCCACCUGGUUGGAAGGGUGGUGACGGUAGUGGUAGAAGAAGCACCGGCUAACUACGUG